GUAAGAUCCCUGAAAGAUGAUCAGGUAGAUAGGUCUGAGGUGGACGUGUGGUGACACAUGGAGCUGACAGAUACUAAUCGAUCGAGGACUUAACCUA
rnacentral:rRNA from 1 species